UGUCUGUCCCUGACUUAUAUCACUCCUUGCCCCGACCACAGAGGGCAUUCACUACUCUAGCAGGCACUCUUCACUCUCUCAGUCUUUGUUUUCUGCUGGCAGCGGUUGUUUCUCUCGAGAAUCUAACCUGUCACGUGACCCCUGGCGUAGGAAGAAGAGGCUUAAUUAUUCAUCGGUAACACACUCACAUUUGACAGGGGAAGCCACACUAGGACCUACAAUGUUGUUGUUCUUCACCAUCUUCUGCGCCGUCCUGACAACAGGUCAUUCGUGCUCCUGUCUUCUAAACACGAGCAGAAUCAUGGACCAACUUCAAUUGUACUGCCAGUAUCACAUGGGUGAGUGGCGCCAUCUGACCCUUCCUUUUGUCUUUGCCCUCAACCAUUGAGAUACAUUCAUCGACAUUCUUUUUACCAAAUUGUUUUAUCUAUAACCAUUUUAUUCACAAUAAAGUUUCUUUUAUUUGGAGUGGAGGUUUGGAAACCGGUGAUUCAGGCUGCAAAAGCUCCUAUCCACACCACAGUUGCAGUCACAAAACAAAACUAAUAAGAAUAAGUUUGUUUAUUUGUGUGCUGGACAUCAGGUUGUACUCACCGUGUCUUUGAAAGCCAAAAUGAGUUCACACACUGUCAGAAGGAAAGAAGUGCGAAUCUAUCGAUGUAAUGUUCAACUGUUCCUCAUCCUUUUUGAGUUGCAAAUCAUGUAUGUUUGAUAGAUAUUUCAUGUUCCACUUGGUUCGGCCUGUAAGCUGUACUAGUGUCUGUAUAGCCGACUGACACUCAUUAUCUACAGUUGUCAUUGGAGAGACACUCACUGAGACUGAGGACAAUGGAGAGAGGACCUACACAGUCAGAGUGCGCCACCCUUUGCUGGUUCGAAGUCCAGUCUACGAACCGUUUACAGUAACCAUCAAAACAUCCAUGUCUGAAGACACCUGCGGACAAAGAUUUGAUCUAUCCAAUACUUACGUCUUUGCUUUAAAUAAGGAGAAUGUUAAUUGGAGAACUUCGUCAUGUGACCCAAACAUCCAGUGGGAAAUGUCACAAAGCAAUCAGCUCAAAAUGAGAAAAUUUGUGAGACGUUGCCCUGGUGCGGUGUGACUACCGUGACCCGGACACAGCCUCGAGUGAAACAUCUCCCACAACCUGCCAAGCAAGUCUUCCAUGUGCUGUAAGCAAUGAAACAUUGGUCUGAUGCAGGAGGCUAGUAAAUGUACGAACUUGUGAACACAC